rnacentral:lncRNA from 10 species
GAGCUGGUAAUCAGGAUGGCAGUGAGGCAGGCACUUGCUUGCAGAAGAACAGGCCUAGUUUUUUAAGAAGCCACAAAAGUGUCUUUGGAUGAUUAGGAUCUAAGGGGCCAACAGCUUUGCAAUAACAGCAUAAAUAUUGUGGGCUGGAUGGACAGGCACCAAAUGGGGACAUUCCAUCCUGCUGUGUGAUGAGAAAGCUGCCACUUUUGAGGCCUUCCAAAACAAAUCAACACUCCAUAUGCCAGAAGGAAAAGCCCAGGAAAGACCUAUUCCAACUGGAGAUGGAAUACGAAGGGAGAAUGAAACAAAACUGCUCCGCUUAGGGAACUUGGAAAGGAAAUUGAAAAGGCAAGGCACAGGCUGGAAGAAAAUAUUUGAAAAAGAUUUAUGUGAACUUCUUUCUGGAUUAUACAAAAUAUUUUUAGAUAUUCUUACAACUCUAAAAUAAGAUAACUCCUUAAAAAUCUAAAUUCUACCAAAGGAGAGAUAAAGAUGACGAAUACAUUCAAAGAUGCUGAAAAUCACUUAUUUAUUAUUAGGAAGUUACAAGCUAAAGCAUAAUGAGAUACCACUACAACCUACUAAACUGACUAAAAUUAAUCAGACUAACCAGGUGUUGGCAAGAAACAGGGACACUGAGACUCUCACACUGCUGGAAGGAAUGUAAAAUGCUAAAACUUCUUUGGAAAUGAGUUCAGUAACUUUUUAAACAGUUGAAAAUAGACCUAUCAUGCAAACCAGCAAUCCCACUUCCAGGUAUUUAUACAAGGAAAAUGACAACAUAUGCCCACAUAAAGACUUGUGCACAAAUGACCGUAGCAGCUUUGUGAUAAUUGCUAAAAACUAGAAACUUGUCAAGUGUCCAACAGCUAAGGAAAUAGAGACAAACUACAUAAGUUGCUGAAAAAUCACAGCAAAUAAUUAGCUGAGGAAGAGACUCAAAUCUAUCAGAACUGCUUGACUUUUGAUCCUGAGCUUAUGCGCAUCCAGUGGGCAAGUGAGGGUGCAUGGGUUUGUGAAGACU